rnacentral:rRNA from 1 species
AUGAUCUUCCCCAAGAGUCCACAUCGACGGGAAGGUUUGGCACCUCGAUGUCGGCUCUUCACCACCUGGAGCUGUAGGUGGUUCCAAGGGUUGGGCUGUUCGCCCAUUAAUGCGGUACGUGAGCUAUGUUUAGAACCUCGUGAGAUAGUUCGGUCCAUAUCCGGUGUGGACGUUAGAGCAUUGACAGGACCUUUCCCUAGUGCGAGAGGACCGGGAAGGACACACCUCUGGUGUACCAGUUAUCGUGCCUACGGUAAACGCUGGGUAGCCAAGUGCGGAGAGGAUAACUGCUGA